GAGCCCAAAAGGCACUACCAGAGUGUCCACGAGCACGAUGGUGCCCACUUCUUCGACGUUCAGUCAAACGCUCACUGGCGAUUGAGGAGAAAGGGAGAAGAAGUAGAUCGCCAUCGGCCGAUCCUAGCCAUGGAGGGCGACGACGGCGAACAGUACCUAUUCAAGAUCGUCAUCAUAGGCGAUUCUGCGGUGGGGAAGUCCAACCUCCUCUCUCGCUACGCCCGCAACGAGUUCAAUCUCCACUCCAAGGCCACCAUCGGCGUCGAGUUCCAGACUCAGAGCAUGGAGAUCAACGGCAAGGAAGUUAAGACCCAGAUCUGGGACACCGCCGGCCAGGAACGCUUCCGUGCAGUCACUUCCGCCUACUACCGCGGCGCCGUCGGGGCCCUCGUCGUCUACGACAUCUCACGCCGCACCACCUUCGACAGCAUCCCCCGCUGGCUACAGGAGAUCAACACACAUUGCGACACCACUAUGGCAAAGCUUCUCGUCGGCAAUAAAUGUGAUUUGGAGAACAUCCGAAACAUAUCUGUUGAAGAAGGAAAAAGCCUUGCUGAAGCUGAAGGGCUGUUUUUUAUCGAAACUUCAGCUCUGGAUUCCACAAAUGUGAAGGAGGCCUUUGAGAUCGUCAUCAAAGAGAUAUACAACAACAUGAGCCGGAAGGUGCUAAACUCUGAUUCCUUCAAAGCCGAAUUGUCCCUCAACAGGGUAACCCUCACGAGCAAUGGAACCGACGAGAUGAAGCAAACUUCCAGUAAGCCAUCCUGUUGCUAAAAUGAUUUGGGUCUCAGGAGUGUGUUUAUCCUUUUCUACAUCUGUAAUGAAGAUUUUCUUUUUCUGAGAAAAUGUGCGCUCUUGGAUGCUGACUGAGGACCUGACGACCAGACUUAACCGCGAAGCGAGGAGCAAAAGGCGAUCAAAUGCACACAUCAAAUCCCUUUCUCGCAUGCUGUUUCAGG